CCUACGGGUGGCAGCAGUGGGGAAUAUUGCACAAUGGGGGAAACCCUGAUGCAGCGACGCCGCGUGAAGGAAGAAGUACUUCGGUAUGUAAACUUCUAUCAGCAGGGAAGAAAAUGACGGUACCUGACUAAGAAGCCCCGGCUAACUACGUGCCAGCAGCCGCGGUAAUACGUAGGGGGCAAGCGUUAUCCGGAUUUACUGGGUGUAAAGGGAGCGUAGGCGGUUUAGCAAGUCAGAAGUGAAAGCCCGGGGCUCAACGCCGGGACUGCUUUUGAAACUGUUGAACUAGAGUGCAGGAGGGGUAAGUGGAAUUCCUGGUGUAGCGGUGAAAUGCGUAGAUAUUAGGAGGAACACCAGUGGCGAAGGCGGCUUACUGGACUGUAAAUGACGCUGAGGCUCGAAAGCGUGGGGAGCAAACAGGAUUAGAUACCCGAGUAGUC
rnacentral:rRNA from 1 species